rnacentral:rRNA from 1 species
GACAGAGGAUGCAAGCGUUAUCCGGAAUGAUUGGGCGUAAAGCGUCUGUAGGUGGCUUUUUAAGUCUGCCGUCAAAUCCCAGGGCUUAACCCUGGACAGGCGGUGGAAACUACCAAGCUGGAGUACGGUAGGGGCAGAGGGAAUUUCCGGUGGAGCGGUGAAAUGCGUAGAGAUCGGAAAGAACACCAACGGCGAAGGCAGCUCUCUGGGAUGGUACGUGACGCUGAGACGCGAAAGCGUGGGGAGCGAACAGG